AAAUUGAAGAGUUUGAUCAUGGCUCAGAUUGAACGCUGGCGGCAGGCCUAACACAUGCAAGUCGAACGGUAACAGGAAGCAGUUUGCUGCUUCGCUGACGAGUGGCGGACGGGUGAGUAAUGUCUGGGAAACUGCCUGAUGGAGGGGGAUAACUACUGGAAACGGUAGCUAAUACCGCAUAACGUCGCAAGACCAAAGAGGGGGACCUUCGGGCCUCUUGCCAUCGGAUGUGCCCAGAUGGGAUUAGCUAGUAGGUGGGGUAACGGC
rnacentral:rRNA from 1 species